rnacentral:tRNA from 1 species
GGGAAUGUAGCUUAAUGGUAGAGUGCUUGCCUAGCAUGCAUGAAGCCCUGGAUUCGAUUCCUCAGUACCA